UUCAACUAUUAUUACUAUUUUUCUUUUUUCUUUUUUCUUUUUACUGCUAAUGUGAACCUUAUUUUCAGUUCGCUCCUUUUCUUUAGAAAUAAAUUUAGCUGAAAAUAUAAAGUAAUUAAGUUUUGAACGUAGGACUUCGAAUACUACCCAUUAAGUCUUUAACCAACCGUUCUAGAUAUAGUUGGUUGGUGUUACACAAUUAGUAUCAUAUGGUUUAAAGUGUAUCUUUUUAGCAUCCUGUGAUUUUAUUUUUCUCUCGCCGCCACUAUCUCUGUUGACUCUCCGUUAAAUAAUAUAUAAAAAACUUCGGAUACCCCACAUAUGAUUUAUCGAAUAUUCACUUUAGUACUCUGUGAUUUUAACUUUGUCAUUUAUUUAAUAAAAAAAUUAAUAUAGAAAAUAACGGAAAGAGAAAAAUAAAAUUACAGAGUAUUAAAAUGAUACAUUUUAAAAUCACAUAAAAGUAAAGUGAGAAAGUACGAAACUACACGUGUUAUUCGAAGUUUUUCCUAUUUAGCAUAACAUAACUUUACUCUUAUCC
rnacentral:lncRNA from 1 species